rnacentral:rRNA from 1 species
ACGAACGCUGGCGGCGUGCUUAACACAUGCAAGUCGAGCGGUAAGGCCCUUUCGGGGUACACGAGCGGCGAACGGGUGAGUAACACGUGGGUGACCUGCCCUCAGCUCUGGGAUAAGCCUGGGAAACCGGGUCUAAUACUGGAUAUGACUCCAUGACGCAUGUUGUGGGGUGGAAAGCCUUGUGCGGCUGAGGAUGGGCCCGCGGCCUAUCAGC